UCGAUCGGCCAGGAACACUCCGACGGCUCAUCACACCGGCUGUUAGAAAUUAAGAUUCACCCCACAAACACCCCCGCGGCCCACAACACUGGAGCCUGGACUGCAACGACUUCAACAGGCGCCCCUCAUUCGGGGUUUCGUGAUGCAGAGUGGAAGACCGAAACGCUUCAAAGUCUGGCGAACAAAGUACCCACCUACGCAGGAUCCAUCACCGCGGCCGCCGCCAUCACAAUCAGGACCACACGGAGCCGUGGAGUCCCAGGUGGGGAUCCACGCACCACCGUCGCUUGGCCCUGGCCAGGGAGCCUUCGCGGGCGCUGCCACCGCCAAGCCUCUCUGCAAUGGGCACAGGGUCUCCUCCCGUGCCUUCCCGCUUUCCUCACUCUGAACCAAACCAGUGUUCCCAAAGCUCCGCUCCGAGGGUUCCACCAGGAGCGGACAAAAUGUCCGCCGCGAGGAAGACGCCGGAAGUCCCGCCCAGACGUCUUCCCCGGGCUUUUAAUAGCGCCGCCACCGCGCGGCGCAGAGAUUUCUGGGAAUAUGCCGCCUAUCUGAAAAGGACCAUUAUAAAUGCUUUUUGAUGUGCCAGGACUGGUGGCAGUAAAUGUGCAAAGGUGACCAUAUGCACCUGAUGAGGGAACGGAAGGCAAGCUGAAGACAAAGCAGAAGCUGACACCCUGCAACCCCCCCCCCCAUGGGAUGUAUGUGACAUUCCUCAGGCACUCAUGGCUGCCCUAAAGGACAAAGAAACAGUCCUUACUACCUAUAGCCCAUUGACAAGUCCUUGAAACAGGCACGGUGACAUUCCUCUAGGAACUCAGCUGCCUCGAUGUUAAUACUGUGCUAAGGGCAAAAGGCAGUCCUAGCCUGACCCCCUCCCCUCCACCAAGAUCCUGUAAGUCUACUUUAACGUAUAAAAAUUCCUUUGGAAACUUCCUUUAUCUCUAACCCCCAAGAUAUGUAUUGGCAAUCAUCCCCCAAGCAUAUGGCCCACUGAUAUACAUCUGAAGGGUCUCAUGACUCAGGUUUUAUUAGACAGUGAUAAAUGACCUUUUCCCAACAACAGUUAGCCCUCUCAAGGUCCUGGAAACCUUGCUUCCAAAAUUCCUUAGAGACUUAUGCUAUCCCUAACCCCCUCCCAGCUUGAGGUUAUAUAAUGGGCCAUCCCUCACAACCCUGGGGCAGCAGCUCUUUCUGCCCACGGGUCCUGUCCCCGUGCUUCAAUAAACCACCAUUUUGCACCAAAGACGCCUCAAGAAUUCUUUCUUGGUCGUCGGCUCCAGACUCAACCCCACUGAACCUCACGUAUAUUCACCCGUACCUCAUCAAACCCAGAAAUAAAGACUUAGA
rnacentral:lncRNA from 1 species